AUGUUGAUGCACCAAGUCCUUCUAAAAAGAAGAAAAAGAAAAAUGAUAGGACUUUGCAUGCUUCUAGUGAACCUGUUGUUGACGCACCUGAGAAUCCCAAUGAUAUUUCUAUUUCUGAUGCUGAAACACAAUCUGGUAAUGAACAUGAACCUAGUGAUAAUGUUAAUGAUGAUGUUCACGUUGAUGCUCAACCUAGUAAACAAUGAUGUAGAAAUUGAACCUGCUGUUGAUCUUGAUAACCCACAAUCAAAGAAUCAACCUUAUGAUAAGAGAGACUUCGUUGCUAGGAAGCACGGUAAAGAAAGAGAACCAUGGGUUCAGAAACCCAUGCCUUUUCCUCCUAAACCAUCCAAGAAAAAGGAUGAUGAGGAUUUUGAGCGCUUUGCUGAAAUGAUUAGACCUAUCUUCUUGCGUAUGCGUUUGACUGAUAUGCUUAAAAUGAAUCCUUAUGCUAAGUAUAUGAAAGAAAUUGUUACAAAUAAGAGAAAGAUACCGGAAGCUGAAAUUUCCACCAUGCUUGCUAAUUAUACUUUUAAGGGUGGAUAG
rnacentral:rRNA from 1 species